rnacentral:SRP_RNA from 1 species
ACGGGCUAGAGCGGGGCUAGGGGUCCCGGCACCGCAAAUCCCCUUAGGCGGCUCGAAGGUCCGGGGAGUUUUGCCGCGGAUACAUGCCCAAUGCCCAAAGCGCUGACGUCCUGCCUUGUGUGGCGGGAUUGUAUGUGAACCGGGUCAGGCCGGAAGGAGCAGCCCUAAGCGUAUUGUCCCGUGCUCGUAAGAUACAGGACUGAGUGGAGGGUAUUGGCUCCUUGUAUGUGUGUCAAAGCCAACCGGAAAGCCCAC